rnacentral:tRNA from 2 species
GCGGGCGUGGCGGAAUGGCAGACGCGCCAGAUUUAGGAUCUGGUGCCGAGAGGCGUAUGAGUUCGAGUCUCUUCGCCCGCACCA